rnacentral:rRNA from 1 species
GACGAACGCUGGCGGCGUGCCUAAUACAUGCAAGUCGAACGCAGUGGGGACGGGUGAGUAACACGUGGGUAACCUCCCAUCAGAGGGGAUAACACUUGGAAACAGGUGCUAAACCGAUACUGAUGGAUGGACCCGCGGUGCAUUAGGUAGUUGGUGGGGUCACGGCUCACCAAGGCCACGAUGCAUAGCCGACCUGAGAGGGGGACCGGCCACACUGGGACGGAGACACGGCCCAGACUCCUACGGGAGGCAGCAGGAGGGAAUCUUCGGCAAUGGACGGAAGGCUGAACGAGCAACGCCGGGGGAGUUAAGAAGGUUUUCGGAGCGUAAAGCUCUGUUGUUAGAGAAGCGGUAACUAACCAGAAAGGGACGGCUAACUACGUGCCAGCAGCCGCGGUAAUUC